GCCGCGGUGGUGGAAUGGUAUACACAAGGGACUUAAAAUCCCUCGGUAGCAAUACCUUGCGAGUUCGAGUCUCGCCCGCGGUA
rnacentral:tRNA from 1 species